rnacentral:lncRNA from 1 species
ACUGUUCUCUCAAACUCCUGCCUGUUUUCUGGGGUGGCCAGGAUGACCAGGACGUUCGGAGAGUAUAAAGCAGUGGUGGUGAAUCUGUGGCAUGCAUGCUGCAGCAGGCUGUCUGCUAUUGAAAACUCGGCAAAGUUUGUCUCUCCGGUAUAAAGUGUGCACAUCACUCCAGAAACACCACUUUCAGACCAGAAGCUGUGGCUGAGAUUUCCCCGUCCCAGAUCCCAGCCCUGCCCCUGGCUCUGGCAUGGGACUGAGCAGUUGUUAAAAAUAUUCUGCUUGACCACUGGGGCAGCUGGGAGCUCAGGGGAUGAAUCACUCAGCACAGAGCCCCUGCCUAAUAAGCAGCAAAGGAAAUGGCAAAGACCUGCUCUUCUGAUGCAGAGACCAGCACCACACUUCCUGUCAACCAGCUCCCAAUGGUGCCUAGCAGCAAGACGCCAAAGAAACAAACAGGUCAAAUGUAGAGUCCAAUCACAUUUCCUAGGCUUCAAUAUUUGCUUUUGGUGGAGACUAUUU